GACGGGACCCGCACAAGCGGUUGGAUGAUGUGGAUUAAUUCGAUGCAACGCGAAAACCUUUACCUACCCUUGACAUGCCAGGAACUUGCCGGAGAUGGCUUGGUGCCGAAAGGAGCCUGGACACAGGUGCUGCAUGGCUGUCGUCAGCUCGUGUCGUGAGAUGUUGGGUUAAGUCCCGCAACGAGCGCAACCCUUGUCAUUAGUUGCCAUCAUUCAGUUGGGCACUCUAAUGAGACUGCCGGUGACAAACCGGAGGAAGGUGGGGAUGACGUCAAGUCCUCAUGGCCCUUAUGGGUAGGGCUUCACACGUCAUACAAUGGUCGGUACAGAGGGUUGCCAACCCGCGAGGGGGAGCUAAUCCCACAAAGCCGAUCGUAGUCCGGAUCGCAGUCUGCAACUCGACUGCGUGAAGUCGGAAUCGCUAGUAAUCGUGGAUCAGCAUGUCACGGUGAAUACGUUCCCGGGUCUU
rnacentral:rRNA from 1 species